CGCGCUAGAAGCGAUGCCACCGGUUUGUCUCCGACUAGAACUUGUUUGGGGGUUUGUAGAAUAGACUGUAUAAAACAGGUUUGUAGUCAAUUUUAUUUGAUCGCUGAGCAAAUCAAUCAGCAGCAGAGGUGAAGACGAAGACGCCGGGGUGCUUUCUGCUCUUCUGUCAUAUAGGCUCAUCCCAGCUUGUCUGUGUUGUGAGCUCUGGCGGACCGCCUCUCCACCCACCUCAACAUGCACAUGAAUAACUUAUUUAACCAGUGCAAUCCAGUUCGGAGCAGACUACACCUUCUGCCCCUGCAGUUCACACCAAUCCCAGCAGCCACAUGAGAAACCAUGUGCGGAGAGAGAGGGAGGACUUGUCGUGAUACAGAGGAUAAAAAGAAUGCAAAAAAACAACAACAACAAAUGCAUCUCGUGCGUAGAUGCUCAUAGUGUGAGUGGUGUGAAUUUCAUGACUUGAACAUGUGAUGAUCACCAUCUCAUCUAUGUGCUGGCCUCAUUCUAUCACCGUCUCAUUCUUUGUUCUUUUAUAUUAAAAUAAAAGAAAGAAAACUUUAGUUGAAAAUUAAAAA
ensembl:lncRNA